UUCAAUUCUAGUUUAUAGUGUUAGAAAAUCGAUAUUUUGAUGUCUGCUGAUUCUGGGAAGCAUACAGUGUUAGUUUUGUUGGACCUUACAUCUGCCUUUGACACUAUUGAUCACAAUAUUAUGCUUAAUAAACUUCAGGCUCUAUUAGGGAUAUCUGGAUCAGCUCUGAAAUGGUUUUCAUCUUACCUUACUGGUAGAAGUUUUAGUGUCUAUAUAAAUCAGAACAUGUCAGAUACUGCAGGUUUAUCGAGUGGUGUUCCUCAGGGUUCUGUCCUGGGACCGAUUCUUUUCCUUCUGUAUAUAUUCCCUCUAGGACAGAUAAUAAGCCAGUUUCAGGAUGUUUCUUAUCACUUGUAUGCAGAUGACAUUCAGUUAUACUGUUCCUU